GGCUGGAUCAAGGGAAGCAGACGACAUAAUUGAAUGCCAGCCGCGACCUAUUGUCAUAUGGUCCAUCACGUACCAUCACGUGGUGACUGUUGAGGUGGUAGGGUGGCAUCACCCGGUCCCGGUCCCGGCUCAGCGAGUGCAGGUAUCUCAUGCCGGCCGCCACGUCGCGACUAUUGUCAUAUGGUCCAUCACGUACCAUCACGUGGUGACUGUUGAGGUGGUAGGGUGGCAUCACCCGGUCCCGGUCCCGGCUCAGCGAGUGCAGGUAUCUCAUGCCGGCCGCCACGUCGCGACCUAUUGUCAUAUGGUCCAUCACGUACCAUCACGUGGUGACUGUUGAGGUGGUAGGGUGGCAUCACCCGGUCCCGGUCCCGGCUCAGCGAGUGCAGGUAUCUCAUGCCGGCCGCCACGUCGCGACCUAUUGUCAUAUGGUCCAUCACGUACCAUCACGUGGUGGCUGUUGAGGUGGUAGGGUGGCAUCACCCG